UUCGCCUUUUGAUUCAGACGCUUCUCUCCCUCAGAAGAUGUUGGUGAAGUGGAGAGUAUUACAAGUGAAAGCGAAAGUCUGUACCGUGGCAGCCACCGAUCUCUCGGCGCUAUAAGUCACCACUAAACCGAGAUCAAGAGGAAUUACAGAAAGAGACAGUGCCAAGGAGGUGACAGCAAGGAUUCCGCUACACAAGAAAUAAUUGAAAAACGUCUCUCUGGAAGGGGAAAAACAAAACAAAAAUGACUAAACAGGCUGAAAUUGUGAAGACUGCGGAUUGUAAGGAUAAACAAGGUUCUAGAAAAGUGAAAUAUUACCCUGUCAUUUGUGGGAACACGCAAGGCAACCAUAAACCCAUGGAGAAGUGGCUGAAGGACGCAUCAGAAGCUCCCACAUGUGGAGAGAGUGACAUCAUCCUGGCUUUUUGUCCAGUCGUAUCUCGACUCGGCACUGACAUUGAAGCCGCACUACAAAAAAUUCAAGGACAAGAAGACUCAAAGCCUGUCAUUCUGGUUGUGAUGCACCACACCCAUGAUGCAGAUGCGACUGUGCCAAGCAGCAGCAGAUUUGUAAAAGAUAAAAAUGUGCUGGUAGUGGACUGUCUGUUCCAUGAGGACCGAGGUCCUCUGCGGUGCGAUGCAAAUGAGAAGGCACAAAACCUCAUCAACCAGAGGUUAUGUGAACUGAGACAGGUCUCACCUAGGAUAGAAGAAGGUAUAGAGGAAUCCACAGAAGCAAUGUCUAAGAAAUCUAAGAAUAAGGUCUCACCUAAGACAGAAGAAGGUAUAGAGGAAUCCACAGAAGAGAGAACAAAAUGGAGUUGUUGUUUUCUGAGUUGUAUUGUUCCCCAAGAGGACAAUAAAAAUGCAGAUGACCAUCAACGGAAUGGGAGAAACCGUAAAAACAAGAGGAAGGACACCAUAUAGAUGGUUCUGACAUGGCUGAUGUGCUACACAGUUUUGAGCAGAGCAGAGCACAGAUCAGACAUUAUUCCGUCUGCACAGUAUGGAGCCAUUGAACACGUGGACAUGCAUCGCUAGAAACCUGCGUCAUGAUGUACCUUAUUAGACAUAAUCAACAGGUGCAAGGGAUGUCUCCAUUAAUUAUCAUCACUUUAAUCACUUUAAUAUCAAUUAUCAUCACUUUAAUUUGCUUCAGAUCACAAUUAGUAUUUAAGUAUAUGUUGGUAAGAUAUUUGUCAGGGGAAUUUCUCUCCCCAAAAUUCUGGAUUAAUGUGAUUUUUGUAUUUGUAAUUUGUAAAGUUGUAUUGAAUGUGGUAUUUCUUUGUACUGGUGUGUCUGUUCUAAUUCAGCACUUGCAUAUAUACCAUGUUACCAACAGUUUCAUUAACAGCUUAGUCUGCCUACUAACGUGAUAAUAUUUUAACAUUUCUGCAUGUUGUAAUUAACCCGGUGUGGUUGCCAAUUAUAUUUUCAUUUGAAAACACUGACUCAAAGUUGAUAUUAUUUGAAGUAUGACAUUGUUUCUGCUAUAUAUCACAAACUCUCUGCUAUAAUAUUUAGAACUUUCUGUUGUCAUGUAUUUUCCACUGUUCUGUCACUGUAUGAAAUUAAACGGU
ensembl:lncRNA uncharacterized LOC114803224